rnacentral:piRNA from 1 species
UGUGAGUCACGUGAUGGCAGAAUCUGCUCAA